rnacentral:rRNA from 1 species
ACGCUCGACACCUACGGGAGCAGCAGUGGGGAAUAUUGCACAAUGGGGGAAACCCGUGAUGCAGCGACGCCGCGUGAGCGAAGAAGUAUUUCGGUAUGUAAAGCUCUAUCAGCAGGGAAGAAACUGACGGUACCUGACUAAGAAGCACCGGCUAAAUACGUGCCAGAAGCCGCGGUAAUCUGAGCGGGCUGGCAAGGC